CCUACGGGAGGCAGCAGUGGGGGAUAUUGCACAAUGGGGGAAACCCUGAUGCAGCGACGCCGCGUGGGUGAAGAAGUAUUUCGGUAUGUAAAGCCCUAUCAGCAGGGAAGAAAGAAGACGGUACCUGACUAAGAAGCCCCGGCUAACUACGUGACAGCAGCCGCGGUAAUACGUAGGGGGCGAGCGUUAUCCGGAUGCACUGGGGGUAAAGGGAGCGUAGACGGCCGUGCAAGCCAGGAGUGAAAGCCCGGGGCCCAACCCCGGGACUGCUGUUGAAACUGUGCGGCUGGAGUGCGGGAGGGGCAGGCGGAAUUCGUGGUGUAGCGGUGAAAUGCGUAGAUAUCAGGAGGAACACCGGCGGCGAAGGCGGCCUGCAGGACCGCGACUGACGUUGAGGCUCGAAAGCGUGGGGAGCGAACAGGAUUAGAUACCCCGGUAGUC
rnacentral:rRNA from 1 species